ACAGACACACAGGGGGAAAGGCCACAUGAAGACAGAGGCAGAGAUCAGAGUGAUGCUGCCGCAAGCUAAGGAAUGCCAAGGAUUUCUGGCAACCCCCAGAGGCUAGAAGAGGCAAGAAAAGAUCCUUUCCCAGAGUCUUCAAAGGUGUUCUAUGCACACUGGUCUAUGCCUGUACCCCCUUCUCCCAAAUGUCCAGUUUGAAUGAUUGAUGAUGUGGUCACCGUGCCUCUGAGGUCCUAUUAUUAUCUACCAUUUCACAAAUGAGGAAACCAAGACACAGAGAAAUUAAGUGACCUGCUCAAAUUCACACAAAGAGGUGA